AAUCCAUAGGUUAAUGAGGCGAACCGGGGGAACUGAAACAUCUAAGUACCCCGAGGAAAAGAAAUCAACCGAGAUUCCCCCAGUAGCGGCGAGCGAACGGGGAGGAGCCCAGAGCCUGAAUCAGCAUGUGUGUUAGUGGAAGCGUCUGGAAAGGCGCGCGAUACAGGGUGACAGCCCCGUACACAAAAGCGCAUGUGCUGUGAGCUCGAUGAGUAGGGCGGGACACGUGGUAUCCUGUCUGAAUAUGGGGGGACCAUCCUCCAAGGCUAAAUACUCCUGACUGACCGAUAGUGAACCAGUACCGUGAGGGAAAGGCGAAAAGAACCCCGGCGAGGGGAGUGAAAAAGAACCUGAAACCGUGUACGUACAAGCAGUGGGAGCACCCUUUUGGGUGUGACUGCGUACCUUUUGUAUAAUGGGUCAGCGACUUAUAUUCUGUAGCAAGGUUAACCGCAUAGGGGAGCCGGAGGGAAACCGAGUCUUAAUUGGGCGUUAAGUUGCAGGGUAUAGACCCGAAACCCGGUGAUCUAGCCAUGGGCAGGUUGAAGGUUGGGUAACACUAACUGGAGGACCGAACCGACUAAUGUUGAAAAAUUAGCGGAUGACCUGUGGCUGGGGGUGAAAGGCCAAUCAAACCGGGAGAUAGCUGGUUCUCCCCGAAAGCUAUUUAGGUAGCGCCUCGUGAAUUCAUCUCCGGGGGUAGAGCACUGUUUCGGCUAGGGGGCCAUCCCGGCUUACCAACCCGAUGCAAACUGCGAAUACCGGAGAAUGUUAUCACGGGAGACACACGGCGGGUGCUAACGUCCGUCGUGAAGAGGGAAACAACCCAGACCGCCAGCUAAGGUCCCAAAGUCAUGGUUAAGUGGGAAACGAUGUGGGAAGGCCCAGACAGCCAGGAUGUUGGCUUAGAAGCAGCCAUCAUUUAAAGAAAGCGUAAUAGCUCACUGGUCGAGUCGGCCUGCGCGGAAGAUGUAACGGGGCUAAACCAUGCACCGAAGCUGCGGCAGCGACGCUUAUGCGUUGUUGGGUAGGGGAGCGUUCUGUAAGCCUGCGAAGGUGGCCUGUGAGGGUUGCUGGAGGUAUCAGAAGUGCGAAUGCUGACAUAAGUAACGAUAAAGCGGGUGAAAAGCCCGCUCGCCGGAAGACCAAGGGUUCCUGUCCAACGUUAAUCGGGGCAGGGUGAGUCGACCCCUAAGGCGAGGCCGAAAGGCGUAGUCGAUGGGAAACGGGUUAAUAUUCCCGUACUUGGUGUUACUGCGAAGGGGGGACGGAGAAGGCUAUGUUGGCCGGGCGACGGUUGUCCCGGUUUAAGCGUGUAGGUGUGUGUUCCAGGUAAAUCCGGUUCACUUUAACACUGAGGCGUGACGACGAGGCACUACGGUGCUGAAGCAACAAAUGCCCUGCUUCCAGGAAAAGCCUCUAAGCAUCAGGUAACAUCAAAUCGUACCCCAAACCGACACAGGUGGUCAGGUAGAGAAUACCAAGGCGCUUGAGAGAACUCGGGUGAAGGAACUAGGCAAAAUGGUGCCGUAACUUCGGGAGAAGGCACGCUGACACGUAGGUGAAGUGAUUUACUCAUGGAGCUGAAGUCAGUCGAAGAUACCAGCUGGCUGCAACUGUUUAUUAAAAACACAGCACUGUGCAAACACGAAAGUGGACGUAUACGGUGUGACGCCUGCCCGGUGCCGGAAGGUUAAUUGAUGGGGUCAGCGCAAGCGAAGCUCCUGAUCGAAGCCCCGGUAAACGGCGGCCGUAACUAUAACGGUCCUAAGGUAGCGAAAUUCCUUGUCGGGUAAGUUCCGACCUGCACGAAUGGCGUAAUGAUGGCCAGGCUGUCUCCACCCGAGACUCAGUGAAAUUGAACUCGCUGUGAAGAUGCAGUGUACCCGCGGCAAGACGGAAAGACCCCGUGAACCUUUACUAUAGCUUGACACUGAACAUUGAGCCUUGAUGUGUAGGAUAGGUGGGAGGCUUUGAAGC
rnacentral:rRNA from 1 species